GACGAGCGCUGGCGGCGUGCUUAACACAUGCAAGUCGAGCGGUAAGGCCCUUUCGGGGGUACACGAGCGGCGAACGGGUGAGUAACACGUGGGUGACCUGCCCUCAGCUCUGGGAUAAGCCCGGGAAACUGGGUCUAAUACCGGAUAUGACUCCAUGACGCAUGUUGUGGGGUGGAAAGCCUUGUGCGGCUGAGGAUGGGCCCGCGGCCUAUCAGCUUGUUGGUGGGGU
rnacentral:rRNA from 1 species